GCAGCUAAUGAAGAGUUUCCAAGCAAUAUCAGACAAUAUACGAGAUGAGGUAAUCGUGCGAAGUUGAAUGUUUGUGGCUGUGAGAGCGGUAACUGUGACAGUGACUGUGAACAGUGAGCAGUGGCGGCAGUAGCGGACUGCCCAGAUCGGCGGCUGUCACCGCCCGCGGCCAUCAGAGGUCGUUGCCGGGUUCAAUCGGCUCGGCGGGCCGGUCUAGCUGCCAGGAGCCGACUGCCGCCGGCGCCGACCCGUCCGUCACCCGGCAAGGAAGCUCAUCAAUCGGACCCGGCCCGUGGCAUACCAAACGCCCCCCCCCCCCCAUCCGUCCCCGCUGCGUGGCGCCGACUUUCCCUGAAAAACACUUUUGCUUAUUGUAUGUUUUUAUUUGUAGAUGUUGCAAUACAAUCCAAAGAGCGACUCGA